GUUUCAAAAUAAAAUUAUUUUUCAAAAUCGAUUUGAGCUAGACUAUAUAGCUGUAUGAUAACAUAAAAUAAUGAUGAAGAUUGAUGUUAUUCUUCACUGUACUGUACCAGGUUCCAGAAAACAUGCAGUCUGUAAUCUACCCCCAUGUCAGUGUAGAGAGGCCUGUUCAUGAAGACACAAAAUCAUUCGACGACACCAAAACAUAUUACACAGUGUAGAUGGACGGAUAGAAAGUGUGAACAUCAAAAGCCAUCGUGUGUGUUACCCAGUUUCCAUUCUGCAUCUAACAAUAGCAACAAAGCAUCCAACAUCAUAACUUUAUUAUUAUAUAGUCCAGGCAAUGAAUGCUCAAAAGAGGGUAUAGUGAGAAAAGUUUGGAAGACUAUAUUUGACCCCGCAAUUUUGUUUUGGGUAUUAAGGAGGUAAAAAUAUCCCCACCCCUACCCCUUGUGCUAAGGGGGUGGGGUGGUUCAAAGGUACCAUUUUUUGGUUUCUCGCAUAUAACUCGAAAACUAUGUAUCUUACGGACAUAACUGUUACAUACAAAAGUAAAGCUUAUAUAAUUUCCUACAAUAUUCAUCUCACAACUUUUCUAGUUUUCGAGAUAUCCGCUCUUAAAUGUGUGACAUUUUUGAAAAAAACACGUUCCCCUCCAAUUUUUUUCUAUUUCUACUCUUAUAACUUUUUAAAAAUUGAUGGGAAAAAUCAAUGCAGAUUAUGAGCUCAUAGAGCCUCUUUCAGGGCUUAUAACUCUCCAACAAUGCAUCGUAAAAAUCAAUGCUUAUCGUAGGUUUGUAGAGCAUUAAAUUCUCUUUGAAAUGGUGUAUUAUUUCACUAUUCAAAGUUUGUGUUUCAUUGUUAUAGCAACUUUAAUGUAGGGGAUGGAAUUUCCAAUGCUGCAACAAUUAUUCAUUUGGCAAUGAAAUUUGAAGCGGGUGUCUGUGACACAAUUUUUGACGUUGCAGCUUAAUUUUGACUAGUUAGUAGAUUAACAUAGCAAAAGUGCACAUCUUUAUCCCCUCUGUUGAAGGUUUGGAACCGCUGAGUUGACACUAGUUGCAAUAUUGAAAAUGUUGCUACAUUGCACUAUCAUUCUUGAUCAUUUGUUACAUCACACAACUAUUAUAUGAAUACUUUGUAUUGUUGUAACCAACUUGAAUCAAUUGACAAUUCCUUUUUUACUGCUUAUUCAAAUUUACUAUUUGUUAUUUUUGAUUUUCAUCAAACGUCCUUUUUCCUACUUAGUGCAGUCAUCAUAACUUUUAAGGCCAUUUGUAAAGUGCCACUUAUAUCAAUAAAUGCAAUCAUUUGUUAUUGUUA